AUUUAAAGGUUGGUGAUUAACACUAUGGAUAAGUAGUGGAGAAAAUGAUGCUAAAUCCUCACAUAUAGUGGUCUUUGAACUCAAUUGUUCCUUUUGCUUUGUCAACUGUGAAAGCCAUUCUCAUCUUUUAGUCAUAGGAAUUAUAGGUUGUGAUUUCAUCCUCUUAACAGAAACAAGAGUCGAGAGCUAUUGUUGAUAUUUUCUUGUUUGGAGAGACUGUCAAGCUUUCUUACGUGCAAUAGCUUGGCCUCAACUUUGCUUAGCUAACUAUACAGUUAAAAUUAGUCGGGGAAGGAAAGAGUGCAGCAGAGUAUGUUCCCUAAGGAAAUGGAAGCACUUCGAAUUAGGCAAAUAACUGGUAAACAAGCCAGAUAAUUUUGCAAAUCGAGUUUUGGGUUUUGCUGGCCAUGGUUUUGGCAGACGGUAAGAGUAAAAAUCACUAAAUCCUCAUUCG
rnacentral:misc_RNA from 1 species